GGAGCACAUCUGUUCUGUAUCAUGAUGUUUUAUUGUCGUCGUUGUCGUUUUGAUCCUUUUUUGCUCUUCCCUAUUUUCUUUUCCUUCCUCUUUUUACUUUCUCCCUUCAUGUUCUCUAAUGUUUUGAUUUUUCUCUAAUCUGACUUUGACUCCUGGGUGGACAAAACUGAUGUACUCUAUGAAGCUUUGGAGCUUGUUGCCUGACUGCUGAACGUGAAUUGUUGGUUUUUUAAGCCAAGAUUGCAGGGCAGGAAUAUGGCAAUGCAGAGCGCUCUGGCAGGCAGCCUUUAAGUCUGUCAAGUUUUCAGGUUCUUGCCAGAUUGUUCAUUAUUGGAAAGCAUGGCCUUCUGCUUAAAAUUUUAUCUCUUGUGAAUGGUACCAGGUGGAGCCUAGAAAUUGCAUAGAGCUAAAACCCAAGUAUCGUUCCUGUUUAAAAAGAGAAAAGGAGCUCCUUUCCCUUUUUCAUUCUGCAAAGGAAAAAAAAAAGUUGUUUCCAGCAUGAGAGAAGACUGAGAAGAGACUUCUUUCUCAAGCAUCAUUUCCACUAUGUAAUCUAACUCAGUAAGCUGCA
rnacentral:lncRNA from 1 species